CCUACGGGGGGCAGCAGUGAGGAAUAUUGGUCAAUGGACGAGAGUCUGAACCAGCCAAGUAGCGUGAAGGAUGACUGCCCUAUGGGUUGUAAACUUCUUUUAUAUGGGAAUAAAAUGUUCCACGUGUGGGCUUUUGUAUGUACCAUAUGAAUAAGGAUCGGCUAACUCCGUGCCAGCAGCCGCGGUAAUACGGAGGAUCCGAGCGUUAUCCGGAUUUAUUGGGUUUAAAGGGUGCGUAGGUGGAAUGUUAAGUCAGUGGUGAAAUUUUGCGGCUCAACCCUAGAAUUGCAUUUGAAACUGGCAGUCUUGAGUGCAGUAGAGGUAGGCGGAAUUCGUGGUGUAGCGGUGAAAUGCUUAGAGAUCACGCAGAACUCCGAUUGCGAAGGCAGCUCACCGGACUGCAACUGACACUGAGGCUCGAAAGUGUGGGUAUCAAACAGGAUUAGAUACCCGAGUAGUC
rnacentral:rRNA from 1 species